UCUUUUCCUUCAGGAAAGGCAGCACAAGACUCAAGUUUCAUUAAGGACUCUGGGCUUGCUGUGGUAGGACUGAAAGGAGAAGGAUGAGCGAGAAAAGCAGCUCCAGCUGCACCACAGCCUGGAGACAGCAAUGCCACCCAGAGGCCAGCCUGACUCCUCACCUCCAACUCACAAAGGGGGCACAUGUUACUUUUUCACAUGUAAAAGUUCUAAAAAGUUCUCUUAUUUGCAUUCUGUGUGAAGUCUCUGACUUGCAAUGGGAUUCUGUAGCUGUAAAUCACCUCUGCCUUACACUUCAGCUCAGUAAUGCAGGAGAAAUAUGCCACUAUCUGGUUUUCCUUUCUGUGUGUGGACAGCCACAGCCUUUGCAGUUGGAGCUGGGACCCCACCUGUCUCAGGUCCCAGUGGGAGAAGUGUUUGCCUCCUGCAGUUCCUGGGGC